rnacentral:rRNA from 1 species
AGUGAACGCUAGUGGCGUGCUUAACACAUGCAAGUCGAACGGACGAUAUUUGUGCUUGCACAAAUAAAGUUAGUGGCAAACGGGUGAGUAAUACAUGAGAAUUUUCCUUGCAGUACGGAAUAACUAUUGGAAACAGUAGCUAAUACCGUAUAUUGCCGAGAGGUGAAAGAUUUAUCGCUGCAAGAUAAGCCCAUGCAAGAUUAGCUUGUUGGUAAGGUAAUGGCUUACCAAGGCGACGAUCAGUAGCUGGUCUGAGAGGAUGAUCAGCCACACUGGGACUGAGACACGGCCCAGACUCCUACGGGAGGCAGCAGUGGGGAAUAUUGGACAAUGGGCGCAAGCCUGAUCCAGCCAUGCCGCGUGAGUGAUGAAGGCCUUAGGGUUGUAAAGCUCUUUUAUCCGGGACGAUAAUGACGGUACCGGAGGAAUAAGCCCCGGCUAACUUCGUGCCAGCAGCCGCCGUAAUAC